UCCAUUUUUAAGCAACUUUUCUGGAGGGGGGGGGAGGGGGAAUGAGCUAGUUGGCGCCCGUCCGUUCUAUUUUCUUUUCUCCACUUUUAGAAGAAAACGGACGGGGAGGGGUAGGCUUGGAGAAAGCGAACUGGGGGUGUCUAAUUUAAUUCCAGUAUAAAUUUGAGGAAAAAAGUUCAGCCUCUUGAGGGCAGUUUCAAGUUGCCCUGCAGGAGCCUCUGCGCUGGUUUCGAGGCUGCCCUCUUUUGGAAGCUGGAGCUCCGCAGGGGGAGGAGGGAGGAGUGAGGAGUAAAGAAAGGAACGAAAAUAGCCGGAGCCAAGGGGAACAGCGGCGGUGUCCGCGCGAAGGUCUCAGUGGCGGCCGGGGCGGCGGGAGGUUCCCGGUGCGGCCCCGGAACGGCCAGGAGCAAAGACGGAGAGGAGAGGGGGGUUAGAGAAAGGAGGUAUUGUGUCUUGUGUGCCUUGGGGGAGGGGGUUGACUGCAGAAAUAAAUGCAGUUGAGCUGCGCGGGGCUGCUAGAAGCCAAGGCAGGGGGAAGGGGCUGUGCGCGGGGGCGCAGCCCGGGUAGGCGCCUAGCAUCCUUGAACCUUAUCCGAAAGCCUUUGUGGGUCCCUAAUAAGCCCUCCCACGCCUGAGCCCCCAUCGUUUCCCCACCCCCCUGGUUGCCCUCCAAUAUUCGGAGCCCAGACCUUGAUCCCCCACCCCAUUAUCCCCGCCCUUGAUCUGGAAUGUUUUGUUUUGUUUUAAUCUUCGUAUAGCUCAAGCAAAAUAUAUCUUGAGAAAGUUGAGGUGGGGAAUACAAAGGACUUGAGGGGCGGAAAAAAACAAAGCCGAUUUUUAUAAAUGUUUAAUGUUUUCACCCCUGGAUGCUCCAAGACGCCGUAAUUGUGAUGGCGGGGUAUGUGUGCCAUAAAUCAUUUAGUUGCUAAUAAAAAUUCUGCCUGUUUGCCCUGCAUUUGCCAAUGGCGUUUGCAUUUUCCAAGUAUGUGCCUUUCUCUGCGUGGCGAUCCGAGCCUGCAUUUCAUUAGGGUCGAGGUUCGGGGCAGGCGAGACGCGCCCCCCCCCCCCUCCGCCUGCCCCCUCCUCCUGGGCCUUUGUGGGCCCCAGCCCCCUCGCGCCGCCCUCCCGGCGCACACUCACACCCGCGGCCGCGCGGGUCGCCUCCGGAGCCCGGCCGGGAGCCGGGCCUGGGGACACGGAGGCAGCUGCUCCCGGGUCCUGGCCGCGGGGUGCGCAGGACGGCCUGCCAGCGCCGGCUCUCCGAGCGCGGCGUUCGUGGGGGCGCAGCGGGCCCCGCCGACGAGCCGCCCGCCCCGGCCGAUCGGUGCGCGCCCUAGUCUUUGCCGCCCCCUCGCCCCCGCCCGCCGGGCCCCGCGCCCCGGCGCCCCCGCAGUCGCUGGGUAAACAGCGGCCGGGAGCCAUCUUGGGGCGGGGGGUGGGGGGGUGGGGACGGAUCCCAGGCCGAGUGGUGGGCGCAGCCGGGCUCCUUCGCAGACCCCCGCCGCCAGUCGUCGGGCACCUCUGGGGAAUCCUUUGCCAAGCUUCGGGGUCUGCGGAAGCACCCUCUCCGCGCCGGCGGACCACACUGAGAUGUCAAAGCCCGGCCGGGCGCCCUGCGCGGGCCGGGUAGGAGGCGCCCGGUCCGCGGUCCGCCCGGGUCUGGCCGCCAUCUUCCGCCUCCCCCUUCUCCCCCCACCCCCCCGCCACAUACUUGUGUUUACCCGGCGGGAUCCUUGGCCAAAAAGUGUGUUGACGCAGUGUGUGUGUGUGUGUGUGUGUGUGUGUGUGUGUGUGUGUUUUGUACUGACUGGGCGGAAAAUCGGCUGGAGGGGGGGACCUCCUCGCAACUUGAACCUCAGUUCCCGGAGAGCCUGUCCAGGCCCGCGCUCUUGUCCACGGCCAGCCUGGGCCGCCGGAGCCGAGGCCUUUUGUGUGUUCUAGGCCUCCGGCUCCGUGCACGAGGCCCCACUGACAAAAUUAUUCCCCUUUGUUUUAAAACCAAAGGACAGGCCAACUUUGAGUCCGGUUCUCCUCGGCCGCGCCUUUGUCGCGGAGGCACAGCCCCGCGCCUUGGUCAACUCUGUUCUUUUCAGGGCUGAACCCGACUCUUUCUGGAACCCUGGUGUUGCUGGCCGCCUGAAUGCAUUCUCCCCUUACCCUUCCCGGGAAGAAAAUGGGCAUCCUUUCGUAGGCGAAGACAUAGGAGCCGCCACCACCCGUCUCCCCAAACCGCCUUCCCGGUGGGGACCUCGGUUCCCUCGCUGUGCCAGCUUCUUGGUGAAAGGGACCCCGAGCGUUCGCCGGCCUCUGCCACCGGCUCGGGAAGCCCUGGCCGGAUCUGGGGCUUAAAAGCGCCAGUUUUCCAGGUCCCGGGUCUGGCAACCAGGGAGCUCCCGGCCCGGGCACCGCGAAAACCCGGAGAGGCUGCGCCCGGGACAUGCAUUCUCGCCAUCCCUCUGGUGCUGCGACGGGCUCAGCCACGAUUCGGCGCCGAGCCGAGGUUCAGCCAGCCCAGCCAAGAGGGGUCCCGACCCUCCAGGAAGACCAAGGACGCGGCGCCCAAGCCCGAACGCGGCAGGGACGAGAGCGCUGGGUGGGCAGAGCCAGGGCUGAAGCACCAGGCUCGGCCCGGAGGAUCCCGGCGCGUCUCGGCUCCGCCUCCGGCCCUGGCCGCUUUCCCCGGCCCGGGUCGGGUCUUCCAUUCCGCUGUUUGUCUCGGAGAGGUCGGAGACGUGCUCGGUGCACAGGGGGCCGGAUACGGCCAUAAAUCUUCAUGCGGGACCUCCUUCCCGUCGCUCACACGCCGGUGCUCCUGGCCGCCCUGGCAUCCCGGGCUGCACUGGGCGCCCUGCUUUCCCCGCCAUGGCCUGGGGUUCCCUGGAGCGGCGCGGGGAGUCAAGGCCUGAGCGUCCCCAUUCGCCAAAGAGAGGGAACAGCCUCGCCCCGUUCUGUGCCACCGCCUUCCAUCCCCGCGGUUGCUGGACCCUGAGGCUGCCCGGGCCUCACUGGAUCUCCACCUGGGGUAGGGGUACCGGGGCCAGGCACUUACUCCUAGGAAGGUUCGUUGAGGCUGGAAUGGGCACACGGCCACCUGCUUGAGCCCAACUCCCGCACCGUUAAGGGGUGACGCCAGGGUUAGGAUCAGAGUGCCUUUUCAGAUCUCAGCCAGCUGCUCCUCUCCAAAGACCCUGCUUUAAUCCCACGCCAUCGUUCUGCCCUCAAGAGUCCUCUGCAGGCGCACGAUAUAGGGGAGAGGGGCGGGGAACAAGCCUUCUGGCGGGUACCUCGCAUCAGCCGAGCAGAGCAGGCCGCGCGCCAGAUCAGGGACAAUCACCUCCAAAUGGUCUUUGCUCUUGGCUCGGGACUUCGGUGGGGACAGCCGAGAAAGGGGGAGGCCUUCACCCCCUCGUAGGCACCUCCCCCUCACCAUGCCAGUGACACAACUGCAACGGCCCCGGGGCAGAUGCCGGAGGUGGAAGGUUUGGGAACCUCGGCCCGAAAUGAUCUUACUGUGGGAGCUUCGCUCCUUCCUAGAAUUUCUAGAAGCACAUUCGGAAGGAUCGCGAGGGCUUCGGCAGGGCCCAGAGGAAUGCGAGCGCUCGCCCCGCCGCCCGGGAGCGGAUGAGGCUGCCCAGCCGCAUUCCGGCCGUGCCUCCCCGCCUCGGCCCCGGCCCCCGCCGCGGCGCCCCAGGAAGCGUCUCCGAAAACAAAGCUCUGCGGUUUCAGCCCAAGGUUAAAGUCCACCACGAGCGUGUUUUUUCCCCCCCUCCGGAAUCUGAGAGCGAUAGCGUUUCUCCAAAUAAACCGCCAAUAAAUCA